rnacentral:rRNA from 1 species
GACGAACGCUGGCGGCGUGCUUAACACAUGCAAGUCGAACGGUGAAGCGCCUUCCUUUUUGGUGGGUGUGGAUGAGUGGCGAACGGGUGAGUAACACGUGAGUAACCUGCCCCCUUCUUCUGGAUAACCGCAUGAAAGUGUGGCUAAUACGGGAUAUUCUGGGUCUGUCGCAUGAUGGGUCUGGGAAAGAUAUUGUUUCGGUGGGGGAUGGGCUCGCGGCCUAUCAGCUUGUUGGUGGGGUGAUGGCCUACCAAGGCGGUGACGGGUAGCCGGCCUGAGAGGGUGGACGGUACCACGGGGACGGAGACACGGCCCAGACUCCUACGGGAGGCAGCAGUGGGGAAUAGUGCACAAUGGGCGCAAGCCUGAUGCAGCGACGCCGCGUGAGGGAUGGAGGCCUGCGGGUUGUGAACCUCUUUCGCCAGUGAAGCAGGCCUGCCUCGUUUGUGGGUGGGUUGACGGUAGCUGGAGAAGAAGCGCCGGCUAACUACGUG